GAUGAACGCUGGCGGCGUGCCUAAUACAUGCAAGUCGAGCGAACAGACGAGGAGCUUGCUCCUCUGAUGUUAGCGGCGGACGGGUGAGUAACACGUGGAUAACCUACCUAUAAGACUGGGAUAACUUCGGGAAACCGGAGCUAAUACCGGAUAACAUGUUGAACCGCAUGGUUCAACAGUGAAAGACGGUUUUGCUGUCACUUAUAGAUGGAUCCGCGCCGCAUUAGCUAGUUGGUAAGGUAACGGCUUACCAAGGCAACGAUGCGUAGCCGACCUGAGAGGGUGAUCGGCCACACUGGAACUGAGACACGGUCCAGACUCCUACGGGAGGCAGCAGUAGGGAACCUUCCGCAAUGGGCGAAAGCCUGACGGAGCAACGCCGCGUGAGUGAAGAAGGUCUUCGGAUCUUAAAACUCUGUUAUUAGGGAAGAACAAAUGUGUAAGUAACUAUGCACGUCUUGACGGUACCUAAUCAGAAAGCCACGGCUAACUACGUG
rnacentral:rRNA from 1 species